ACAGAGGGCUGUGGCUUCACCUGGGCGAGCGCUAUCAUCUGUUUCAAAACCACUGCUUGAAAACACCUUAGCAAGAAUUUUACAAGCCUUGCAGAGAGUAUUUCCCCACGCAGAGUUUGCACUACAGAAGGACCAACAGCCAGACAGUGUAAAUCAUGUUUUAAGAAAUUAUGCAGUUGACAGUGAUGAGGAAUCGCCAUCAAUCUUUGAAGAUAAGCCAACUCAUCAAAUGCCCAGUAGAGAAAAGGAAAAAUUCCUCAAUUUUAGCAGAAAUGCUUAUUACCAGCCAACAUCUUGCAGGCCACGGUUCUUACUAGUUGGAGAGCCAGGAUGUGGGCAAGCUUCUCAUUUGGCACCUGCGGUAAUACAUGCCCUGGAAAAGUUUCCAGUUUAUACGCUAGACCUACCUGCUUUGUUUGUUACCGCCACAUCACCGGAAGAAACAUGUGCACGGUUGAUGCGAGAAGCUCAAAGAACAGCGCCGAGUAUCAUUUAU